UACGUAGGGGGCAAGCGUUGUCCGGAAUCAUUGGGCGUAAAGAGCGUGUAGGCGGCCCGAUAAGUCCGCUGUGAAAGUCCAGGGCUCAACCCUGGGAUGCCGGUGGAUACUGUCGGGCUCGAGUCCGGAAGAGGAGUGUGGAAUUCCGUGGUGUAGCGGUGAAAUGCGCAGAUAUCAGGAGGAACACCAAUGGCGAAGGCAGCUCGCUGGGACGUUACUGACGCUGAGACGCGAAAGCGUGGGGAGCAAACAGG
rnacentral:rRNA from 1 species